GCAAAGAUGAGAAGGAGGGUGUGGGAGACUUCAGAAUGACUUUACCUCAAUCUGCAGGAUAAAAAACACGUGAGGAACAAAAUAAGAGGAAGCAUUACCCAAGCUGGCUUAACCUCUGCAUUCCCAGCAGGCCGACCCACAGCUCCGCACCAGCUCAGGGCACUUCAGUACUUCCUGCCUUUCAGCAAGGGCCAGAAGGAGAAGGAUCUGAGGAUCGUGCCAUCGUUCUUGUCCCUAAAACAGCAUCACCAGAAGCAAUCAGGAAGCCCUGCUAAGAAAAUGAAGUUCCUUUUGUGAUAAAUACUCAUAUUUCUAGGCUUGAGUGCUUUGAGUCAAGCCUGGACAUCUAACCGGGGCUGCUGGCCAUUUCAAGCAGAGUUCAACGAUCCAGGUUUUUGAAGUGCUUCUACAUGGAGCUUCCACAAGCCAGAGAACCAAAGUCAAUGCACUGCUGUGUCCUGAGGGAUGACCAAGAAAAACGUAUCCACAAAUUUCUAGAAAAAAAACCAUUUAGCUCUGUGCCUGAACCCUAAAGAAAUUAUUCUCAGAGGAGACUGAAAAUUAGAACUCCGCAUAGAUUUGCCUGGCAAUUAUUCUAUGAAAUUGAAUGAGGAAACUCAAAUAGCCCUUGUACUUAAAUACACAUUUUCAAAUCCAUUAUCACAAACUAUCUAUGUUGCAUACCCCAAACAUAGAGGGUGCUGAGCAAUUGUAAAGGGAGGUAAAAAUCUCUGCUCUGAGAAGUUCAAAAAACAAUGCAAACAUAAGAAGGAGGGCAGAAGGGAAAUAAGCAGGAAAACAGUCAGUUUGAUGACAGCAAGAGAGCUGGCAGAGCUGCAUAGAAAGGGAUUUCUCCUCCUGCAAAAUGUUUGAGAAUUUUAAAUUUUCCCAAACAACACUCAGCCAAGCCUUUUCACUGUGCUUUGCUGAAACUAUUAAAAAAAAAAAUCAAAUCAAA